UACAGAGGGUGCAAGCGUUAAUCGGAAUUACUGGGCGUAAAGGGCGUGUAGGUGGAAUUUUAAGUUAGAUGUGAAAGCCCCGGGCUUAACCUGGGAGGGUCAUCUAAUACUGGGAUUCUAGAGUACGGUAGAGGGAAGUGGAAUUUCCGGUGUAGCGGUGAAAUGAGUAGAUAUCGGAAGGAACAUCAGUGGCGAAGGCGACUUUCUGGACUGAUACUGACACUGAGACGCGAAAGCGUGGGUAGCGAACAGG
rnacentral:rRNA from 1 species